rnacentral:rRNA from 1 species
CGGACGGGUGAGUAAUGUCUGGGAAACUGCCUGAUGGAGGGGGAUAACUACUGGAAACGGUAGCUAAUACCGCAUAACGUCGCAAGACCAAAGAGGGGGACCUUAGGGCCUCUUGCCAUCGGAUGUGCCCAGAUGGGAUUAGCUAGUAGGUGGGGUAACGGCUCACCUAGGCGACGAUCCCUAGCUGGUCUGAGAGGAUGACCAGCCACACUGGAACUGAGACACGGUCUAG